CGAAGGGCAGCAAGAACGCCGCCACCGAGUUGGGCGUGCCCGGCAUGCAGGCCGUCACCGUCAGCAACCAGGGCAAGAUCUUCCUCAACACCAUCCCCGUCAGCCUCGCCGAACUCGAAUCCAAACUUGGCACCCUGAGGGCCGCGAAGAAGGACAUGCUCGUCGUCAUCCGCGGCGACCGCCAGAGCCAAUAUCAGGGCAUCAUGGACGUCCUCGACGUGUUAGGUCGGGCGGGCAUCGAGAACGUCGGGAUGGCGACGAGCGCGAAGUAGCUUGAAGUGCCAAGUGAAGAAGAAGUGCCAAGUGCCAAACUUAGAAGAAGUCCCCGAACCGAAACACCUGAACAUGCCGAACUGAGAAUUCUACCUGCCUUUCUUGGCACUUGGAACUUCAUCACUUGGCACUUCAAGCCGCUCCCCGCCCUAACGCUUUCCCCUUAUGGCCAGCGCCGACGACAAGAACUUCGACGACAUCAACGUCACGCCGAUGGUGGACCUCUACCUGGUGCUGCUGCUGAUCUUCAUCAUCAUGACCACCGCGUCCGUGCAGGGCAUGAAGGUGGACUUGCCGCGCCCCAGCAAGAACGCCGCGGCGAAGCCGAAUCCGAACGCUCCCAAGCUCCAGGCGAUCGUCAUCGACAACGCCGGGAAGAUCAAACUGAACGGCGAGGACGUCAGUCUUCCCCAGCUCGAAACGAAGUUGGCCGCCGCGCGUGCCGCUUCCGCAGAAGUGCCCGCCGUCGUCCGCGGCGAUCGCCAGACGCAGUACCAGACCAUCAUGGACGUGCUCGACCUGCUGGGCCGCCUCAAGAUCACCAAGAUCGGCCUCGCGACCAAACCACCGGAAAAGUAAAGCCAUGGCCAAGCAAACGAAAUUCAUCAUCGGCGGCAUCAUCAUCCUCGGCAUUGCCGGGUCGGCCGCCUUCAUGCUCCCGGGGGGCGAGAAGAAGCCCCACGCCAAGAAGAAGGCCGCCCCCACGGUGGU
rnacentral:misc_RNA from 1 species